AAGCCAUGAUGGGGGCACUUGCGUAGGAGAUCCUUGAAUCUCUCAUGUGCUUUGAAAAGUGUCUCGGAGUCCCCUUGACAGAAUGCAAAAAUCUCUUACCUUAGUCU